GACGAACGCUGGCGGCGUGCCUAACACAUGCAAGUCGAGCGAGGAGAGUUCCUUCGGGAACAAACCUAGCGGCGGACGGGUGAGUAACACGUGGGCAACCUGCCUUGUAGAGGGAAUAGCCUUCCGAAAAGGAAGAUUAAUACCGCAUAACAUUACAGUUUCGCAUGAAACAGUAAUUAAAGGAGUAAUCCGCUACAAGAUGGGCCCGCGGCGCAUUAGCUAGUUGGUGAGGUAACGGCUCACCAAGGCGACGAUGCGUAGCCGACCUGAGAGGGUGAUCGGCCACAUUGGGACUGAGACACGGCCCAGACUCCUACGGGAGGCAGCAGUGGGGAAUAUUGCACAAUGGGGGAAACCCUGAUGCAGCAACGCCGCGUGAGUGAUGAAGGUUUUCGGAUCGUAAAGCUCUGUCUUCGGGGACGAUAAUGACGGUACCCGAGGAGGAAGCCACGGCUAACUACGUG
rnacentral:rRNA from 1 species